rnacentral:rRNA from 1 species
UCAACCUCUGUGCACUUGUUGUAGGUCGGUAGAAGAGCGAGCAUCUAAUGCUUGCUUGGAAGCCUUCUUAUGUUUUACUACAAACGCUUCAGUUUAAGAAUGUUUACCUGCGUAUAACGCAUUUAUAUACAACUUUCAGCAACGGAUCUCUUGGCUCUCGCAUCGAUGAAGAACGCAGCGAAAUGCGAUAAGUAAUGUGAAUUGCAGAAUCCAGUGAAUCAUCGAAUCUUUGAACGCACCUUGCGCUCCCUGGUAUUCCGGGGAGCAUGCCUGUUUGAGUGUCAUGGUAUUCUCAACCUUCAUAACUUUUGUUACCGAAGGCUUGGACUUGGAGGUUGUGCUGGCUUCUAGUUAAGUCGGCUCCUCUUAAAUGUAUUAGCGUGAGUGUAACGGAUCGCUUCGGUGUGAUAAUUAUCUGCGCCGUGGUCGUGAAGUAACAUAAGCUUGCGCUUCUAACCGUCCUUCAGUUGGACAAUUACUUUGACAUCUGACCUCAAAUCAGGUAGGACUACCCGCUGAACUUAAGCAUAUCAAUAAGCGGAGGA